UCAGCGACUUAUAUUCUGUAGCAAGGUUAACCGUAUAGGGGAGCCGGAGGGAAACCGAGUCUUAACCGGGCGUUAAGUUGCAGGGUAUAGACCCGAAACCCGGUGAUCUAGCCAUGGGCAGGUUGAAGGUUGGGUAACACUAACUGGAGGACCGAACCGACUAAUGUUGAAAAAUUAGCGGAUGACCUGUGGCUGGGGGUGAAAGGCCAAUCAAACCGGGAGAUAGCUGGUUCUCCCCGAAAGCUAUUUAGGUAGCGCCUCGUGAAUUCAUCUCCGGGGGUAGAGCACUGUUUCGGCUAGGGGGCCAUCCCGGCUUACCAACCCGAUGCAAACUGCGAAUACCGGAGAAUGUUAUCACGGGAGACACACGGCGGGUGCUAACGUCCGUCGUGAAGAGGGAAACAACCCAGACCGCCAGCUAAGGUCCCAAAGUCAUGGUUAAGUGGGAAACGAUGUGGGAAGGCCCAGACAGCCAGGAUGUUGGCUUAGAAGCAGCCAUCAUUUAAAGAAAGCGUAAUAGCUCACUGGUCGAGUCGGCCUGCGCGGAAGAUGUAACGGGGCUAAACCAUGCAC
rnacentral:rRNA from 1 species